GUUGUACCAUCAGUAAGCGACUGUGAUGGGCGUGUACCAACACUUCGCUGCUAGCUAAAAUGAUAAAUAACGUUAGUGACCACUGUGAGCUAAAUGUUGUCGUCGGACUGAUACUUGGUAGUGUGAGCCAUAGACAUAUAAUACAUACAUACACAUAAUGUAUUACAUAUCUACGGCGUAGACUCUGUUGAAGUUAGGGCGACAUCAAAAACCGUAAGCGAGUCUUUACAGAGAAAAGCCCUUGGUGUAGCAUUUGAGCUAGCUAGUUAAUCUUUAAGUUACCAAUAGCUGAGACCCACGAGACUUUAAGGGACCACGGUGAUUCAGCGAGCUCGCUACAAAGAGAGACCCCGAGAGCCUCAACACCCACAACGAAACAUUCAUUGAUGUUAACGUCUGUCACUUCAUGUGUGUCGCUUUCGGAUCGCCCCAGUGUUUUUAUUAAUUGCCUGGUUUCCAUCCUCCAAGAUGUAUGGGAUGUCGGGAUGACAGGAAGAUGGCAAACGGGGUUGGAAAGCACAAGCUACUUGUCAUUGGACCAACAGAGCCAUGGUCAGUGAGGGAAAAGCUGUGUUUGGCCACAUCUGUCAUGAAGAGUGGAGACCAGAACUGGGUAUCUGUCAGUCGAGCCCUCAAACCGUUUGCAGAAUCUGGGCGACCACCUGACUGGUUCUCUCAAAAGCACUGUGCAUCCAAGUACUCUGAGCUCCUGGAAACAACAGAGGCCCCAAAGCGGAAACGUGGUGAGAAAGGUGAAGUGGUGGAGACGGUGGAGGAUGUGAUAGUACGCAGGCUGACAGCUGACAGGAUCGAUGAACUAAAAAAGCUGAUAAUAGAAACACAGGAAAAGCACAGGAAGCUGAAGAGAGAGGCUGAACUCAUCCAAGCAGGACAUCUAGAUUCCAAACUAGAGGAGUUAUGGGAAGAAAUCCUGCAGAAGAAGAAACUGGAGGAGGAAGAAGCAGAGAUAAAAAGAAAAAACACAGAUGCUGCCUAUCAGGCCAGACAGGUGGCAAAGAACACGCCAAAGCGAGUGCCUGGCAUCACCAUGCAUUCGCCCUCAGGCUGUAGCUCCCCAAGCCAGGAGUUCUCACCAAGUGACCCACUCGAGUGCUUGACACUGGAUCUCGCAUCGACAAAGAAUGCUUCAGGAUCAGCCAGAUUAAUGACAAUUUCUGAGUCUUCUGGACCUGACAUCAGCCACGGGUCACUUCUGGAUGACCCCACCCAAAAGAAGCUGCAGGGCCAGAAAGCCACACCACCACCAUCUCCACUCCUGUCAGAGUUACUGAAGAAAGGCAGUAUCUUGGCCACAAAUUCCAGACUGAUUGGGGAGGGUGACGUGCCCACUGGUAAUAUGACAGGAGCACAUGACUUGCAGCUGGCUCCGCCUAGUCAACUUCUCUCUCAGGCAACAGGUGCCCCGAUGUUGUCUCGUCUCCUGGAGGCGGGUCCCACCCAGUUUUGUGCCUCAUUAGGUUUCAUGGUCAGUGCAGACUCAUCCUCCAGUGCUCCUCUCUCUGCUGCCACUCCCGUUCCUGUUGACUCUGCUGCCUCAGCAAGUACAGAGAUGGAUGUGAUGGUGCCGUCUGUGCCCCCUGGAUGCGAGCCUGUCUCUGCAGAGGAUAAGGUGUCAGAGCUCAGUGAGGAGGAUGUGACUGUGUCCUACAUGGGAGAUGAGCUGGAUCUGAAGACAGUUGGGGACAUUAUCGCCAUCAUUGAGGACAAGGGGAGAAAGGCUGAGGAUGGAAUAAGUGUUGGGCGAGGACAGAAUGCCUCAGGGACUAAAGUGCACAAUGAGGUCAACGGGCCAGAAGUGUGUGGAGAAGAGGAGGGUGAGGGAUUCUUGUCAGAGCCAGAUGGGGAAAUGGAGCUAGAACCUGCGGCCAGCGAGAGCGAGGACGGAUACAGCCUCCACACGGCUUCCUCUUCUCUGCAGCUCCACACGACCGCAGACUCCAUCCCCAGCAGCCCUGCCUCAUCGCAAUUUUCUGUGUGCAGUGAAGAUCUGGAAGCUCUACAAGCUCACAAGAUCUGGAAGAAAGCCAUUAUGCUGGUGUGGCGUGCAGCGGCCAAUCACAGGUAUGCAAAUGUCUUCCUGCAGCCAGUAACAGAUGAAAUUGCACCUGGGUACCACAGUAUUGUGCACAGGCCAAUGGACCUGGCCACCAUAAAAAAGAACAUUGAGACCGGUUUGAUACGGACCACCGCUGAGUUCCAGAGGGACAUCAUGCUGAUGUUUCAGAAUGCGGUCAUGUACAACAGCCUGGAUCAUGACGUGUACCACAUGGCCCUGGAGAUGCAGCGUGACGUCCUGGAGCAGAUCCAGCAGUUUCUAGCCACCCAGCUCAUCAUGGAGACAUCAGAGUCUGGUAUCAGCGCCAAAAGCCUGAGGGGCCGUGAGAGCACACGCAAACAGGACUCUACUGACAAGGUGCUUCACUAGAAUUUUGAAAAAAGCAGAGAGUACAGAAGAAGAGACAAGGGACACUGUCUCCAUGUCCUCUCCUGCCUUCCUUCUUUCUCUUUUUGAUGGCGGCACCAGAGGGCGCCGUUGUGCCAUAGAAGCCGACCUCAAGAUGAAGAAAUGAACAUGCAGUAUGAAAAUGAUCUGACAGUGUCCCUGAGUUGAAGUGAAAGGUGUGAUACCACAAGACUGAACGUAUCUUCUGUCAUUUGCACAGAGUCUCACCCUGCAUAAUGUGCAGUGUAGCCUUCACUUGCACUCUACAUUAAAUGGGUAGACUAUGAUGUGGAGAAGCUCUCAUUUCUUCUGAGACAGCCAUGCAGACAUGGAUUACAUACUGUAUAAUCCCAGAUUACAAUGGGGCAUUCAGAAAGACUAGGUCAAAGCUUUCCCAUAGUUGCAGAUCAGUAAGACUUAUCCUGCUCUAAAUUACAUCAGGUUGUAGAAAUGAAGAUAAAAGUUACUCCGAGCCUACAAAUGGUCUGAAAUUAAGCCUACAGGGGACCUGGUUGAAUCUCAGAUUAGUGUGGUUGAUUUAAAGAAAUAAACCAUGUUGGUGAUCAAUAUGUAAAACCAGAGGCCAAAGAGUACGAUUAACCUAGAAUUUCUGAAUGAUCAGGGGUACACAUACUAAUUUCAACAACAUUGUCAUUGCUGGUAUGAAAUCGGUUGAGUUUUUUUGUUCUUUUCUUUUUUCUAAUUUUAAAAACUUUGAGAUCACUUUUAAAUAUGGCUGUAUCGUUUGUGAUUAAUUGAUUUUAUCUACGCUACACUUAUUGUGAAACAGAACCUACGUGCAUACUCAUUUUCAGUAUUUUUGAGCAAACGUCACGUCAAUGAACUGUUUUGUGGACUUAAAAUGUUUGAACAAUAAAAUGUCAGAAAGAGCCCUCAA